GGAGACGUGACCGAGUGGCCGAAGGUGCUCCCCUGCUAAGGGAGUAUGUACCAAAAGUGCAUCGAGGGUUCGAAUCCCUCCGUCUCCGCCA
rnacentral:tRNA from 1 species